CCUCACCUCAGAAGAUGGUGCGGUUGGGGUAUGUUACGCACGCAUGCGUAAUGAUUGAGAAUGUGUAGUUGAGAUAAGUCGGAUCUGAA